CAUCGGCAAUUAUCGCCGAAGUCCGGAAGUAGGCCCGUCCCCCGCCUGACCGGACAAGAGCGGCAGCCUCAUCCCCCUCUCCGGGCUGCCGCUUCGUUUAGAGUAAGGCCGCCGUGGUUCCCCCUCCACCACGGCGGCACUUU
rnacentral:sRNA from 1 species